GCGCUGCGCAGCAGGUGGCCGAUGCGUUGACCCUGGCGCGGUCGGCACGCGUGCUCGAUGCCUGCGCCGCGCCC
rnacentral:tRNA from 1 species